UGGGGAAUAUUGGACAAUGGGCGCAAGCCUGAUCCAGCCAUGCCGCGUGAGUGACGAAGGCCUUAGGGUUGUAAAGCUCUUUUGGCGGGGACGAUAAUGACGGUACCCGCAGAAUAAGCCCCGGCUAACUUCGUGCCAGCAGCCGCGGUAAUACGAAGGGGGCUAGCGUUGUUCGGAAUCACUGGGCGUAAAGCGCACGUAGGCGGAUUUGUUAGUCAGAGGUGAAAUCCCGGGGCUCAACCUCGGAACUGCCUUUGAUACUGCAAGUCUCGAGUCCGAGAGAGGUGAGUGGAAUUCCUAGUGUAGAGGUGAAAUUCGUAGAUAUUGGGAAGAACACCAGUGGCGAAGGCGGCUAACUGGUCCGGUACUGACGCUGAGGUGCGAAAGCGUGGGGAGCAAACAGGAUUAGAUACCCCCGUAGUCCCUG
rnacentral:rRNA from 1 species